AACCUGAAGGAGAAAGAAAAUCAUCAUUACAAACAGCAGCAUGGGGAACAACUGGGAAGAAGAAUUUUGGGUAGAGAGCACCCAGAGGAGGUAUAGCAAGUCUGAUGUCAUUGUGCACCAAAGCAGAGGAAAGCAAAAAGUGACAGAAGUGACAACUGGAACUGACGUUCUGUAUACAUCAGUACCUGCUGAGCAGCCUGCUCUGCCUAGACCCCAGGGAGACAGAAGAAAUACUGGAGCACCAUUCCUACCAGCUCUAGAAAGUUUCAGAGAUCUCAUCCAUCAAAAUGGCACUCAGCUCUGACACAUCUGUAUUUUGGACCCAGUAAAAAUCACCCUGAAGUAUCACAGAAUGGCCAGGGUUAGAAGGGACAUCAAGGAUCUCCAAUCCCCCUGCCAUACUCAAG